CUCCUAUUUAAACCUGCUUCAGUGCUCUUCAUUGCGUGCUGUUGUAGGCCGGUACAAUUACUUUGAACAAAUUAGAGUGCUUAAAGCAGGCUCCAAAUGCCUGAAUAUUUUGUGCAUGGAAUAAUGAAAUAAGACCUCUGUUCUACUUUCAUUGGUUUUUAGAUCAAGAGGUAAUGAUUAAUAGAAGCAGUUUGGGGCAUUAGUAUUACGACGCGAGAGGUGAAAUUCUUGGACCGUCGUAAGACUAACUUAAGCGAAAGCAUUUGCCAAAGAUGUUUUCAUUAAUCAAGAACGAAAGUUAGAGGUUCGAAGGCGAUCAGACACCGCCCUAGUUCUAACCAUAAACGAUGCCAGCUAGCAAUUGGGUGUAGCUACUAUUAUGGCUCUCUCAGUCGCUUCCCGGGAAACCAAAGCUUUUGGGCUCCGGGGGAAGUAUGGUUGCAAAGCUGAAACUUAAAGGAAUUGACGGAAGGGCACCACCAGGAGUGGAGCCUGCGGCUUAAUUUGACCCAACACGGGAAAACUUACCAGGUCCGAACAUAAGCGUGUAAGACAGAUUGAUAGCUCUUUCUCGAAUCUAUGGGUGGUGGUGCAUGGCCGUUCUUAGUUCGUGGAGUGAUUUGUCUGGUUAAUUCCGAUAACGAACGAGACUCAAAUAUAUUAAAUAGAUGCUUUCAGGAUUAUGGUGUUUGAAGCUUUUAUAGCCUUCAUUCAUGAAUGCAGUAACAUGUGUGAGUGUUUGAAUGUGUUUAUAAAGGUGGAGCCGUACCUGUUGGUUUGUCCCAUUAUAAGGACACUAGCUUCUUAAAUGGACAAAUUGCGUCUAGCAAUAAUGAGAUUGAGCAAUAACAGGUCUGUGAUGCCCUUAGAUGUCCUGGGCUGCACGCGCGCUACAAUGAAAGUAUCAACGUGUAUUUCCUAGACCGAGAGGUCCGGGUAAACCGCUGAACCACUUUCAUGCUUGGGAUUGUGAACUGAAACUGUUCACAUGAACUUGGAAUUCCCAGUAAGUGUGAGUCAUUAACUCGCAUUGAUUACGUCCCUGCCCUUUGUACACACCGCCCGUCGCUACUACCGAUUGAAUUAUUUAGUGAGGUCUCCGGACGUGAUCACUGUAACGCCUUGCGUGUUACGGAUGUUUCGCAAAAGUUGACCGAACUUGAUUAUUUAGAGGAAGUAAAAGUC
rnacentral:rRNA from 1 species